rnacentral:misc_RNA from 1 species
GAUGAAGAACGCAGCGAAAUGCGAUAAGUAAUGUGAAUUGCAGAAUUCAGUGAAUCAUCGAAUCUUUGAACGCACCUUGCGCCCUUUGGCUAUUCCGAAGGGCAUGCCUGUUUGAGUAUCAUGAACACCUCAACUCUCAUGGCUUGCCGUGAUGAGCUUGGACUUUGGGGGUCUUGCUGGCCUGUGGUUGGCUCCUCUCAAAUGAAUCAGCUUAUCAGUGUUUGGUGGCAUCACAGGUGUGAUAACUAUCUACGCUUGUGGUUUUCCACCAGGUUAACCUUCAGUGAUGGAGGUUCGCUGGAGCUCAUAAAUGUCUCUUCUCAGUGAGGACAGCUCUUUGAACGUUUGAUCUCAAAUCAGGUAGGACUACCCGCUGAACUUAAGCAUAUCAAUAAGCGGAGGA